GCUUAUGUAGCUCAGCAUCGGUAGAGCAUGAGGCUCUUAAUCUCAGGGUCGUGUGUCUGAGCCUCACAUUGGGCA